GGCUGUGCUGCUGGGCCUUCUCACAAAUGUGUUAACACCGUCAAAUCAAAACAACUGAACCGGUUUCACUGAAUCACAAGUCUUCCCGCAAAACGUCACCACCCUGCAAAAGCUGCAGCAUCGGCAACAAGAAGG